CAGAAAAAGCCCCGGCCAANUACGUGCCAGCAGCCUCGGUAAUACGUAGGGGGCAAGCGUUGUCCGGAAUUAUUGGGCGUAAAGAGCUCGUAGNCGGCUUAGUAAGUCGGCGGUGAAAUACCGAGGCUCAACCUCGGCACUGCCGUCGAUACUGCUAUGGCUAGAGUUUGGUAGAGGAGAACGGAAUUCCCGGUGUAGCGGUGGAAUGCGCAGAUAUCGGGAGGAACACCCGUAGCGAAGGCGGUUCUCUGGGCCAAUACUGACGCUGAGGAGCGAAAGCGUGGGGAGCAAACAGGAUUAGAUACCCUGGUAGUCCACGCUGUAAACGUUGGGCACUAGGUGUGGCGACCCGAUCAACGGUUGCCGUGCCGAAGCUAACGCAUUAAGUGCCCCGCCUGGGGAGUACGGCCGCAAGGCUAAAACUCAAAGGAAUUGACGGGUCCCCGCACAAGCGGCGGAGCAUGCGGCUUAAUUCGAUGCGACCCGAAGAACCUUACCUGGGUUUGACAUCAUGGGAAAAGCCGUAGAGAUA
rnacentral:rRNA from 1 species